AUCUAAGCCAGGUCCUUUGGCAAUGAGGAGGUGUGCAGGGAUCGGGGUGAGGAAGUGCAGGACUGGAUGGACAUUUAAGGUCAAAAAUUCCCCAUUCGGAGACAAGACUACUCUGGGCCAGCGUGUUGAUCGCCAUGGUGUAGCGGAAGUGGGGGAUCAGGAGCUGAUUAUGGAAGAAAGAAAUGGGACAUGGUCAAAUAAGAGAGUUCCCAGCAUCCAUGAGGGAAGAGGAUGUUAAAGGAAGUGACAGAAAAGGGAGAGGAUGGGUCUUUAUGAAAUGGAGAGACUUCUCGUUAAAUUGGAGUGGGUCAGGGUAACAUUUGGGAAUAUAGAGAUGGGAAAAUGUCUUCUCAGAGCAUCCCAUGGUGAAAGUUUUAGGAGUUCACUUAUUUCCACAGUUUCAUGUCCUUGGAAGAAUUCUAAAAAUCCCAUAUCCUAGCAGGUACCCACAUAUGAGCCCAUCCCUUUUUGCCUUCACCCAGACCUUCACCCUCCUAUAAUUAUAUUCCUUCUCCUCUCUCUGUCAUACAAACAUGUGCAAUAUUGGAUACCCUAAAGAAAACCCACAUCCUUGUCUUGCCAUCUCCCGGUUUCUUGCUUUCCCUUUCACAGCAAAUCUUCACUCAGUGUUGUCUUUGCUUACCCACCUCACAUUUGCUGCUCACCCCCAUGAAUCAGGCUUCCUCCACUUCCCUGAGAUGGCGCAUGUCCAUUUAUUAACCAAUGACUUCCAUAUUGAGAAAUCCAAAUGUCACUUCUCUGUAACUUUCUUGAUCUCUUAGCAGCACUUGAGACAGAUAAUCAUGCGUCCCUCUUGAAACGCUUUCUUUUCCUGGCUGCCAUGGAUUGCACUUUUUGGUUUUCCUCCUACCUCAAUGAGGUUCCUUCUCUUGUUUCUUUUCUCACUCUGCUCCCUUCUCUCAGUCUGUAAAUGUUGGUUCACCCUAGAGUUAUAUCUCGGUCAAAUUCUCUACAAACCCUAGAGAACUUCAUCCAGUAUAAUGACUUUGAUACUUUUGUUUUCU
rnacentral:lncRNA from 1 species